CCCGCAACGAGCGCAACCCUUGUCAUUAGUUGCUACGAAAGGGCACUCUAAUGAGACUGCCGGUGACAAACCGGAGGAAGGUGGGGAUGACGUCAAGUCCUCAUGGCCCUUAUGGGUAGGGCUUCACACGUCAUACAAUGGUACAUACAGAGGGCCGCCAACCCGCGAGGGGGAGCUAAUCCCAGAAAGUGUAUCGUAGUCCGGAUUGUAGUCUGCAACUCGACUACAUGAAGUUGGAAUCGCUAGUAAUCGCGGAUCAGCAUGUCGCGGUGAAUACGUU
rnacentral:rRNA from 1 species